UAAACUUUAAAUUUUUAAUUUUUAAAAUUUAGUUUCAAAUUUAAAAUUUAAAAUUUAAAAUUCUGAUUUUAAAUUUCAAAUUUUUUAUUUUGAAUUUCUAAUUUCUAAUUUCAAAUAUAAAAUAUAAAAUUAAAUUAAAUUUUUUUAAUUUUAUAUUUUAAAUUUUAAAAUUUAUUUAAAUUUUGAUUUUUAAUUUUUGAAUUUUGAAUUUUAAAAUUUAAUAUUUUAGAACUCUAAUUGUUAUAAAUUUUAUUGAAUUGUACAAUAUGUAUCCAAACAGCCUAGUAAUGAAGUUAUAGAAUUUUUUUAUAGCCAUCAGAUUUCGUAUUUCAUUUAUACUAAAAUUACAAAAUAAAAAUUUCAUGAAGUUUUCUAACUAUACUUCCAAACAGGUCCUAAAAGUCUAAUUAUUUUCAAACAAACUUUAUGUAACAAAUAUGAUCAUUAUAUUC
rnacentral:lncRNA from 1 species